rnacentral:lncRNA from 1 species
AGGAUUAUCGCCGCCGUCAUCGGGGUUGUUAUCGACCUCCCUCUUCCCCCAACCGAGAUCCUAGGAGAUAAAUCAGAGUCCCGGCGACCUUUUUCCCAUAUAUUACCCUCUCACAAGCCCUGACCACCAAAUCAUCUACCGUCGGGUGCUAUCACCACCGCGAAAUCGAGAUUUAGAGAGCGGAGAUCCGUCGUUGGCGAGCUUGCAAAUCGCGGUUACCUAGGUCUUGGCGUGGUGUUCUGGUGCGGUGGCAUGGUGCCUAGGAGCCUCGACUGCCAUCAAUUCCGCCGCUGGACCGUUGAAGCUUGGGCGAUUGCUCGCCGGACUUGGGAAUUGUCGUUGUGCCGUGCUGCGUCGGGGACCGAGCUCAUCUCAAUCAAAUCACCGGUAAGCGCUGAUCCCCUAUGUUCACCUAAGACUCCGUUAGGUGUAGGUCCGCGCUGGUCAUGUAUAGGUCGUCAGUGGGCCGGUUGUGUGUGCGCCGACUAUGGCGUCAUCGCGAGCGCAGGGUGCGCCAUGGGUAGGCCUGCUCACGCUAAUCUAAUGCAGGUGGGCGGUCAACCUGUUUGCGAUGGUUGGAGCAUCAUUUGUGCGUAGUCGGAUUUGGGCCGUUUUCUCCGUCAUCGUCGACGACGCCGUCGGGGUGAUGCCUCGCACCGCCGUGCUAGUAGCUGAGGAGGAAGAGGGAGUCCUGACCAUGGAUCAUCUUGUGGAGGGCAGGGAUUAAUGGGUGGCGUGGUGCAUUGCGGGCCGUUGAUCCCCCUCUGGGUGGCUCAGAUUAGAAGGAUAGGUACCCCUCGCCACAUUCAGUCAACACCGGUGAUCUCGAUCCAACAGGUUGAAAUAGAUCUAGGGUAGAUAUUAUCCCCACCGAUGAUCUCUGUAACACCCUGAAAUCCUAUUCUAGGAUUUAGUAUAACUUUUCAAAUGAUCUAAACCAAGAUGUCUUUUAAUAGAAUAUUCUUACCUUUAAAAAAUAUUUUUUUCCUAUAACAAAUAAAUGGUAAUGUUAAUCUUUGAGUGUUCAAUUUUUUUGAAACUCAGAAAAUAAGUAAUGAAUUAAACCUUCAUUAAUUAUUGGUCUUUUUAUGAAUCGUGUAUUAUAGAAGCAAUUAUUUAAAUAAAAAAAAGUAAGUAAAUAAAACAUGUACUUACAUCACGUCGGGUCUUUGAGUUGUGCAUUUGGUGUGAAUUUAAAUAUUAAAACCCAGUUGAAUUUGAAAACUUUUAGUACGACACUGAACACAGGAAAUAAAGAAAAAUAGGAAUCUCUACUAACUAUUUUAAGGGCUCAGUGUAGACCGCCCCCGCCCCCGAAAACCACGCGCCCGCCUCCGCCUGCCCGUACGCCGGAAACCGCGGAGGCUGCACCGCGAACGCCGCGAACCGCCCAACAAACGCCCGCACGCCGCAAUCCCGCCACGGCCUAUGCAGCCGCCGCGACCUCCGCGAACCCCCCACGCAGCAAUCCCGCCGCGCCUACUAAAGCUGCAACCUCUGCGAAAGCCGCGAACGCCGCAAUCCCGCCGCGGCCUCUGCAGCCGCCGUGACCUCCGCGAACCGCCCGCCCGACCAUGCCAACAUCCUCAUCCGGUAGCCACCAACCAUAUCCCAUCGAAGGUUAUGCAUACCCCUGCCAUCUCCUCUUUCCCCUACAUUCCCACGCCCCCGUCGCUGGAGAGGAAAGCUUGCCCCUCUGUCGGAGAGGAAGUAAUUUUGUUGCGGUCGCCGGGGGCCUCGACCAAGGUAUGCCAUGCGUUCUCCUUCCAGAUUUGUUAAUCCUCCUCCCUAGAGCAGAUAAAUUCAUCUCAACAUAACAAUGGGGACGGGACCUUCUUUUGGAAAUAUACUUGGCUAGGGGAAAUUCCUUUAGAAAUUAAAUACCCAAGGUUCUAAUAUCUCUGCAAGGACAAGGAUAUUCUUGUCAUAGGGCUUCCUGAAAAUCUGAAAUGGUGUUGCGUCAUAUAUUUAAUUGUCUGACCAAAAAAACUUUGUGGUUCAUCCCUGGGAAGCAUACCUUGUUGUCUAUUUUCUCGCGUGUAGUAGCAGGAUGACUUGAUGCCAUGUCUUGAUUUGAGGGACUCUUAGCUUCCUUUCAUUGCUGGUUUGUACAUCUGACCGAUAUGAAAAUGGUGUAAGAGUGUUGGCGUGUGAGAAAUGUGUUUGAUCCUUGCAAAAUACAUGAUGGAUUCGAACGUGGUGGUACUUUAGAGAGUGGUUUUUUGUUUCUUAUUCUUCGAUACUGCAAUAUUCAGGAAUGGACACCAUUUACCCAACUAAUUAAUAAUAAAGCACCACAAUGCCACCAGGAUCACCGCCACUAGCCAUCUCAUGCAAGGUCAGAGAUUCAUGAUUUAGGUCAUAUAUCGUGAUAAGCUGCAACUUCUCAGAUAACCUUCGAAGAAUAUCUGCGUCAACACUCGCACUGCUGCUUGAAUUAUAGAGAGACAUCAGGUCAUUAAAAAGAUCAUCGUCACAUGAAUCCGAUCGUUCCUUAGCUCUUUUGAACUGAGUAUGCACCAAGUCAACCUGCAUAACAUUGAAGAUAUUAUGGUACACAAAAGAAGAAAAAACAUCAAAACAAUAGUAAUAUAAAAAACAAUAAUGAAAAUAGAAAUUUUGGAAUUUAGUAGUCUACCUGCUUGUUGGGACCAUGCUUCGUCGUCGAAGGUCCUGCAGAAAGAAACAGCUUCGGCUAAAGCUGCUUAUACGUGAUGCCGAAGCUACCACUCAUGAAGCUUCGGUGUUAUAACAUAUCCGAAGAUGAAGGAUCGAACCGACUUAAAGAUAGAAUGACCUUUUAGUUCAUAAGGGUCUGAGUCAUUGUUGUAAACUUUUAUAAGGGGCAUGAUUGUAAUUCCUUACAGACUGUGUCCUAUGCCUAUAAAUAGUGAACAAUAUUCCUUUACUGUUCAUGCAAUCCUGUAACUGCUAACGCAUUACUCUGGAAUUAUUGCUCUUUGUCAAGGCAAAGGUAUAAAUGUAAUCAAACAUCAUGUUUUAAUAUCUCAGUUUAUAUUGUAAAAUGAGUAAAUGAUGUUAUCCAUUCUUAAUAUUCUUUAACGUUUUAUACUUCAUAUUUUAUUUCGCAUUAUUUUACUUCUGACUAUGAAGGUAAGACCUUCGUAGUUCAUCAUCUAUGACCUUCGUCUGAAGCUCAUUAAAUCCUCAGGGAAAUAAUGCUUCAGCGGACGAAGGGCUUUGAUAUUUAACAUUUUAUGUUGCCUUGUUCUUAAUUCAUAGCAUUUGAGAACAAGUCCCCAACAUUGGCGCCCACCUCCGGUGAACUCACUUCCACUUUUUUGAGCUGAUAGCUUCGGCAAAGAAUCAAGAUGGAACUGCUUCGGCUCCGAAGCUGAUUCUCCCGAUAACAGGCGGUUCAUGCUCAGAGCCGACCAACAAGAAACAGAAGGAGGCACAGAGAAGAGUACAACACGUAGGGGUACAAGGACACUUCAUCAAAUCAAGAUGGUCUCACAUCCCAAUUACCUUUUCUCAAGAGGAUCUUCAGCUCAAGGAUUACCCACACAAUGAUGCUAUAAUUAUCUCUUGUGUGAUCAAAGGAUUUCUGGUCCAUAAUGUUUUGGUUGAUACAGGCAGUGCAGCUGAUAUCAUAUUUGCUAAGGCCUUCAGACAGAUGCAAGAGCCCGAAGACAAGAUCCAUGAUGCCACACAUCCCCUUUGUGGCUUCGGAGGAAGGCAAAUUGUAGCACUCGGAAAAAUCACAAUGCCAGUAACCUUCGGAUUUAUCAACAACACAAGGACUGAACAAGUUGUGUUCGAUAUUGUUGACAUGGAAUACGCUUACAAUGCAAUCAUUGGUCGUGGUACUCUCAAUGCCUUCGAAGCAAUUCUUCAUCCAGCAUAUCUUUGCAUGAAGAUACCUUCGGACCAAGGACACAUUGCCGUUCAUGGAAGUCAGGAAGCUGCCAGAAGGGCCGAAGGAAACUGGACAGAAUCAAAAGCAAUCCAUAACAUAGAUGGAGCUGAAGCUUGUGAGCAGUACAAGUUUAGAAGGGAGAAAGCUGCUUCGGCCGAUGAGCCGAAGCCCAUGCUCUUAUGUGAGGACAUAGCAGAGCAGAAGGUGCUAUUGGGAUCCCAACUGUCCGAAAAACAGGAGAAAACCUUGAUAAGGUUUCUGUUCAACAACAAAGAUGUUUUUGCAUGGUCAGCUAAUGAUCUUUACGGAGUCAACAGGGAUGUUAUUGAACACUCGCUCAAUGUUGAUCCAUCCUUUAGACCCAGAAAGCAGAGGCUUCGGAAGAUGUCUGAUGACAAGGUCGAAGGUGCUCGGAAUGAAGUGAAAAGACUCCUCAGUGCCGGAGUUAUCAGAGAGGUAAAAUACCCAGAAUGGCUGGCUAACACUGUUAUGGUAAAAAAGGCCAAUGGUAAAUGGAGAAUGUGUAUUGAUUUUACUGAUCUCAACAAGGCCUGUCCGAAGGACGAGUUUUCAUUGCCAAGGAUAGAUUCUCUAGUUGAUGCAGCAGCUUCAUCAGAGCUUAUGAGUCUGCUGGAUUGUUAUUCAGGCUAUCAUCAAAUUUGGAUGAAGAAGGAGGAUGAGCCAAAAACCAGCUUCAUAACCCCUAGUGGAACAUAUUGUUACCUUCGGAUGCCUGAGGGGCUCAAGAAUGCUGGAGGAAGCUUCAGCAGAAUGACAACGAAUGUUCUUCAUUCUCAGAUAGGCAGAAAUGUGCUAACUUAUGUUGAUGAUAUCAUUGUAAAAAGCACGAAGCAAGAUAAUCACAUUGCUGAUCUGCAGGAGACCUUCGCUAAUUUUAGACAGGCCGGUUUAAAGUUGAAUCCAGAAAAAUGUGUCUUUGGAGUGAAGAAAGGGAAAUUUCUUGGCUGCCUAGUUUCAACAAAAGGGAUUGAGGCUAAUCCAAAUAAAAUCGAAGCUAUCCUUCGAAUGGAACCACCAAGUACAAAGAAGGGGGCUCAAAGAUUGACAGGAAGACUGGCAUCUCUCAACAGAUUUAUAUCUAGAUCAGCAGAGAGAAAUUUACCAUUUUUCGAAGUGCUGAAGUGAGCCGAAGUUUUUCAAUGGGGACCAGUCCAGCAGAGAGCCUUCGAAGAGCUGAAGCAAUAUUUGAUAGACCUAACAACACUAACUCCACCAACGCCAGGGGCUCCUCUGUUGUUAUAUGUGGCAGCUUCGCACUCAGCGGUAAGUGCAGCACUUGUCCAGGAGAAGCUUGAAGGCCAAGUCAAAAAGCAAGCCCCAAUAUACUUUGUAUCCGAAGUUCUUAGUUUAUCAAAGAAAAAUUAUACAGAAUUGGAGAAGGUGCUGUAUGCUGUUUUGAUGGCCUCCAGGAAGCUUCGGCACUAUUUUCAAGCAUACAAUAUAGUUGUUCUUUCUUCACAACCGUUGAAGGAUAUUAUGAGAAAUAGAGAAGCUACUGGAAGGGUUGGAAAAUGGGCUGCGGAACUCAAUGAGUUUUGUAUUGAUUAUGUACAUAGAUCUUCGAUUCAGUCCCAAGCAUUGGCAGACUUCAUUGCUGACUGGACGCCAGGGGCUCAGGAAGAAGAAACAAGUAAAGAUGCCGAUGUUUGGACAGUAUUUUGCGAUGGAUCUUGGGGAACCUUCGGAGCAGGAGCAACUGCUGUGUUGGUCGCACCUUCCAAAGUUAAAACUUGUUAUGCAACAAGACUUGAUUUCAGUUGCACAAAUAACAUUACUGAGUACGAAGCUUUGCUCUUGGGUCUUCGGAAGUUAAAGGCGAUGGGAAUCAGAAGGGCGAUUCUUAAAACUGAUUCCCAGGUUAUUUCUGGUCAUAUUGACAAAAGUUAUAAAGCAAGAGAUCCGAAGCUUGAAAAAUAUUUAGACACGGUCUGAAGGAUUGAGGCUUCCUUUGAAGGGUUUUCUGUUAAAAAUAUUCCUCGUGGAGAAAAUGAAUAUGCUGAUUUAUUGGCUAAGUCAGCAGCACAGGGGCUGCCCUUACCUUCGGAAGUAUUUUUCGAAACAAUAAAAGCACCUUCGGUUGAACUUUUUGAAAGAGCAGUCCUCAACAUAUCCCCUGUCUAUAGUGAAGACUAGAGAACUGAGAUCAUCUAUUUCCUUCAGGGUAACUUUCUUUCAGAUGACGAAGCUUAUAACAGGAGGAUAGAGGCAAGAGCUCGACCAUAUGUUAUAAUAGAAGGUGAACUAUACAAGCGUGGGGUCUGUUCUCCGUUACUCAAGUGUUUAUCCAGAGCCGAAGGUAUAUAAUUGAUGAAGGAAAUACACGCAGGCCUGUGUGGAUCUCACAUUGGAUCUAGGCCUUUGCUUGGAAAAGUUUUUCGUCAAGGAUUUUAUUGGCCAAAGGCAGCUUCGGAUGCAGCGGAAUUAGUCCAAAAGUGCGAAGGUUGUCAAAAUGUGCAAGAGAUAAAAACAAACUUCAUCUUUAACUCAGUUAAUACAACCCACUUGGCUGUUGCAAAGGUGGGGCCUUGAUUUGUUAGGUCUGUUACCACCAGCACAAGGGAACUUAAGAUAUGUUGUAGUGGCAGUGGAAUAUUUUUCUAAAUGGAUUAAGGCAAAGCCUUUAGCCACAAUAACUUCGGUCACUAUUCAAAAGUUUUUCUGGCAAAAUAUUGUUUGUCGCUUCGGAGUGCCGAAGGAUAUUACUGUGGAUAAUGGGACGCAGUUUGAUUCCGAAGCUUUUAGAGAAUUUUGCGAUCAAAUUGGCACGAAGAUCCAUUUCGCAUCAGUUCGACAUCCGGAGUCAAAUGGACUUGUUGAAAGAGCUAAUGGCAUCAUAAUGACAGGAAUAAUGAAGUUAAUCUUCAAUCAGCCCAGGGGAAAGUGGCCAGACGAAUUAAUCAAAGUGGUGUGGAGCCACAACACAACAAUAUCAAGAUCAACAGGCUUUACACCAUUCAAACUAUUGUUUGGUGACGAAGCAAUAACUCCGGAAGAAGCCAAAGAAGGAUCAAUAAGAAUAGUAGCUUCGGCAGAAGACGAAGCUGAAGCUGAUUACUCUGUGGAAAAAGAUGCUAUAGAGGGGAUCAGGCUUCAAGCUGUGGAAAACAUCAACAAAUACCAAGCUGAAACAAUAAAAUGGCGUGAUAGAAAGGUUAGGCUAAAAAACAUUGAACCAGGACAUUUGGUGCUUCGAAGAGUAGCCAACCCAGAGACAGUAGGCAAAUCACAGCUGAAGUGGGAAGGACCUUUUCUGGUAGUAUCUUCGUCAAGACCCGGUUCCUACAGAUUGAAGGAUAUGGACGGCAACGAAAUUCCUAGAUCAUGGAAUGCGGACGAGCUUCGGCGAUAUUAUGUUUAGCUUGAUGUAGUUUUUUCUAUUCUUUCUUGUGGCACCCUUUUCCUUUCCAAAGGGGGAGAAAGGUUUUUAAUGGGGCCACAACAUGUAAUUUUUCUUUUCCUUAUUUAAAUUUUAUAAGAGCGAUAUCCCCCAAAGAUGUAAAUGUAAAAGCUGAGAACGCACCAUCGAGUGCAAAGGAAAGAGAAAAGAAAACAGGGAGAAGCUCAAAAGUCGUUCCUAAGGGAAUGCAGAGCUUACAGCGAAAAAUGAACGCUGAUUCCGCCGAAAGUAAAAGGCGAAGAAGCUCCUAAGGGAGGCUUACAGCGAAAAAUAAACGCUGAUUCCACCGAAAGUAAAAGGCGAAGAAGCUCCUAAGGGAGGCUUACAGCGAAAAGUCAGCGCUGAUACACCAAAAAGUAAACGGUGAAGCCAAAAAAUAAACGACAAAAAGAUUUGAGUCAUUCCCAAGGGAAUGAAGGCUAUGAUUAUGGUUUUGAAUAUACAUUCGGAUAUUCAUUUGCACGAUACAUUACAUCAUGACAUUUGCAUUCAUAAACAUUCAUUUAGACAUAUAUAUGAUCAUUAUCAUCAUACCACACAAAAAAGGCAGAUGCUUCGGCUAUGAGGAAAAAACUUCGGAGAAAGAGGAAAUUUUCAUGCUUCGUUGUGUACGAAAAGAAGGGAAGGUGUUUUUCGCCUUCGACUCAAAAGUGAAAUUUCGUUCACAGCAAAGCAGAUCGUACACGGAUAAAGGAGAAAAGAUAUAUUACAAGGUAUGCACAAAUUUACAUAAGUUUUUUCUACAAUUAUAUUACAAAGAUUUCUCCAGAAUUUUUUUGUAGAAAAGUCUUUUACAGCAACUGGCUUCAGCCCGUCAUUCUUCAGCUUCAUCAUCCUGUACAUAUUGAAAAAGAAUGAGAAAGGUGCAAAUUUCAAGGAGAAGGUAAAAGUAACAAGUAUAAGUUUCUCACCGGCUUAAGGUGGCUCCGAGCUUCGUCACCAGCCAUUUUUCGCCCGCCGUUUACCUAAAUCUGGGUCAUAAAUCUGUUUCCUAUGCUUCAGGCUAGGCUUGGGAUGUCAACCGACAAGCUGAAGUUUGGCCUAUUUACAAUCUUCCCAUGCGUGCAGCCGGCCUUCAGGAAAGUGGUAGCCGUGCCUCGAGAAGCUAACAGGGCGCAGAAAUCAGCAUGCCCAACAAUAACUUCGUCAAGUGCAUCAACCUCGCCUUCAAUGUAUUCCUAGGUGCUGGGCAGGUUUUCAGCCGAAGGUGUAAACUUAUCAGAGCUGGCUCCAAUUGAGUGAAACACAUCCUUCAGCCGCUGCACACAUCGGUUGUCGAAAUUUAAGCAUUUCUCCUGAAGCUCCUUCAAUGAUUGUUGCAAAUUUGAAUUCUUCUCGAUCUCGGUCUUGAGACUUGUUUCGAGGUUCUUCUUUUCCUGCUCAGAUUUUUCUGACUUUUUGAGUAAUUCACUGUUUAAUCUGUCAUUUUCGGCUUGGACCUCAGCCAGUGAACCUUCCAUAGAAUGAAUAACGAAGUCUUUCUUUUCUAAGGCAGCUUCGUGUUCUUUAACUAUGAUUUCAAGGUCUUGAAUGACGAAGUCCUUUUUCUUCAGAGCAGCUUCGUAAUUUUCGACUUUGUCUUCUAGAUCUUUGAUGAUAGCUUUGUUUUUUUCCUCUUCAAGAUCUUGUUGCAUUCUCAGCACUUUACUUAGUAGUAUACUCUGCCAAAACAACCUUCAUAAAAAAACAACUUAAUUUUUUUUAAAAAGAUAAUAAUAAUAAAUUGAGAGUUUUUUACCUUGAAAUUAGCAUAGAGCAAGCUACCGACGAUAUGCUGUCGCUGGUACCUGCAGAGGUCUGCUUCUAUCUUCGGCAGGCCAACGCUUUUGGAGAAGGUCCUAACAACCUUGGCCUCGGUUCGAUUCCGAAGGCAUCUUAGCUUUCCUUCAUUUACCCCACCAAAUAGCAGAGACCCUGGUUUGUAUCCACAGGAUAUAGCAUAUUUCUUUAGCUCUUCUUUUUCAGCGUCUGUUAACUCUUGUCUAAGUAUAUCUUGAAAAUUAAAAUUUUCUUCUUCCAAAAUGUCUUCAAUCUGCUCUUUUCCUUUUUCAGUUGUCGUGUUCACCGCAACCACAACAACUUCUUCAGCCAUUCUCAAAAGUAUAUUGUCAAUAUCAUCAAGCGUGGUUUCCAGGUUAGGAUCUUCGGUGGUCCCGGUUUCGGCUCCGGUAGCUUCGGCCCCGGUGGCUUCGGCUCCGGUAGCUUCGGCUCCGGCGGUUUCGGCUCCAGUGGUUUCGGCUCCGGUGGUUUCGGCAACAACAAUUUUUGACGCCGAUAUCGGUGGCGGUGUCUGAUGAAUGACAUCUGCCACUUGGAUAAUUCUUCGUUUUUUCGGCUUUACGGGACUUUCUGCUGCCGAAGCUUCUUUGUCCUUCUGAAAAAACUUCGUCAGUUCUGGCGCCAGCGGACUUAGCUUGACAGGCAAAGGUUCAGUCAUUACCUUCAGAAUCUCUUCCACUUCGGCAGCAGAAGGUGUUGCAGGAGCUUCCUCCUCUCGGACCGAUGUCUUUGGUUUUGGAGAUGCAGGUUUUGGAGAUACAGCUUUUCUUUUCCUUGGAGCAGCUACCUUCGGCUCAGGGCUGAGUUUUUCAGAAAUUUCUUUUUCCUUUUUAGCCAAUUUGGUGCUUUCUUUGUCAAGGGCGCUGGCAAUUCUUUUUCUCUUUAAACCUUCGGCAUCUCCGCCCAGUUGCUCAUAAUCAGGAUAGUCAAAAUUCAAGGCAUCUAGCACCCGAUUCAAUCUUUGUUUCGGACGACUGCCGAAGGCUGCUGUCAUCAACUGAUCUUCUUUCUUAGAAUAAUUACCGAGGAUAUCGUUGCACAUAAUCUCGAUUGUGUCCAACCAUUCCUGGCAGGGUUUUUUAAAGUGUUUCUUAAACUUGUAGUAAUAAGGCAAUCGAACAAGUUCUCCCUUUUUCUUUUCUCCCUCCAGCUUCGGCAUCUCCCACUCCCUCAUUGUUGGGAACACUUUAAAAGCCAGAAAUUCCUGCACUAAGUCUCUAGUGCCAAUAUGUUCUGAAAUUACUCGAAAUUCACCCAAAGCAAUCUGGCUCGGGCUCCCCCUUAUCAUGUUGCAUUGGGGCCUCGUCUCUCCGAAGGUUAGCUCUAGCGGACUCUGGACCAAUUUAUCUUCAUCCUUAACAACUUUAACAUAAAACCAUUCAGACUUCCAUCCGACCGGCCAUUUGCUUCGGUAGCUUAUCACUGGAAACUUCGUAGUCUUGCGAUAAGCAAAGUUGUAGCAGCCAAAAUUCUCAUGUAGACCAUCUCCUCUGGCUUUAGUCUCGUAAUGUAAUUCAUGAACUCGGCAGAAACCCUCACCGAACGGUUCCACUCCCUGGCUACGAAGAGCCCAAAUGUAAACACUUAAUCUAACAAUAGCAUUGGGGGUCAGUUGAUGAAGGUAAAUCCCAAACUUCUUCAGUACAAUAGCAAUCAUCCCAUUUAGGGGGAACCUUAGGCCAGCUUUAAAGAAGCUUUUGAACACUACAACCUCAUUCUUUUCCGGCUUCGGAAUAGUUCCCUCUCCGCCAAAACGAACCAGCUCCUUUUUUGCUUCACUGAAGUAGCCCAGCUUCACCAUUUUUGGAAGAUCAGCUUCAGAGAUGGUGGACUUUCCAAAGUCCAAAUGACUAGGUUUACUUGGCAUCCCGCAGAUGUACUCAUCUUCGGAACCAACUUCUUCAACAUCAGCUUGUGUUGCUUCGGCAGCAGGUGUGUCCUCUGAUGAAACCAGCCCAGAGCGCCUCAUUGCUUCGGAAAUCGGAACAGUGUUAGCGGCUUCGGUCUCAUCUCCAUCACGCUCAACCCUAGCAGUGGAGCGUAUUCUGGCCAUUUGAUUUUAAAUUUUCUUGAAAAUUCCUUGGAAGUUAAUAACCUUUUUUCCGAAGCUCUUCUCGUGACGAAGCACAAUCCAAACUGGAGCUUCGUUUGAAUGCAAAAGUCAAGCUUCGGCUAUGGUUAAAUUUUUGGCAGCGAAACAGUGCAAUAGCAAUGAAUGCUGUGGUAACUUCACACCUACCUGUCUGUUUAUAUAGUGCUGCAGGUAAGAAGGUGAAUCGUCAGGAUUUUUACACCGGGCAAACAGUCGCUCGCACCCACUGCACGGUGGGCCGCAAAAACCAAGAAAGUGAACCUGCAUGGUGGGACCGCUCCGCGCUCGGAAACUGUAUCGUUUCUCGGCAACGAGCUCAGGGAAGGUGUUUUUCGGACCUUCGGCUUCCCGAAGCUUAAGAGACUUUUUUCACGGAUCAAGCUCGUAACGAAAAACGAUCUAGCACCGCGAAGGGGCUACUGUUGGGACCAUGCUUCGUCGCCGAAGGUCCUGCAGAAAGAAAUAGCUUCGGCUAAAGCUGCUUAUACGUGAUGCCGAAGCUACCACUCAUGAAGCUUCGGUGUUAUAGCAUAUCCGAAGACGAAGGAUCGAACCGACUUAAAGGUAGAAUGACCUUUUAGUUCAUAAGGGUCUGAGUCAUUGUUGUAAACUUUUAUAAGGGGCAUGAUUGUAAUUCCUUACAGACUGUGUCCUGUGCCUAUAAAUAGUGAACAAUAUUCCUUUACUGUUCACGCAAUCCUGUAACUGCUAACGCAUUACUCUGGAAUUAUUGCUCUUUGUCAAGGCAAAGGUAUAAAUGUAAUCAAACAUCAUGUUUUAAUAUCUGAGUUUAUAUUGUAAAAUGAGUAAAUGAUGUUAUCCAUUCUUAAUAUUCUUUAACGUUUUAUACUUCAUAUUUUAUUUCGCAUUAUUUUACUUCUGACUAUGAAGGUAAGACCUUCGUAGUUCAUCAUCUGUGACCUUCGUCUGAAGCUCAUUAAAUCCUCAGGGAAAUAAUGCUUCAGCGGACGAAGGGCUUUGAUAUUUAACAUUUUAUGUUGCCUUGUUCUUAAUUCAUAGCAUUUGAGAACAAGUCCCCAACACUGCUCUCUUACUUCAUGUGAUAACUAGGUAAAUACACGUGCGUUGCAACGGGAAAAAUAUUGCAAAAAUAACAUAUGUAUAGCCAUGUGUUGUGAUGUUAAUUAAGAUUAAGCUGCCUUUAAAACUUUGUAGAGAAAAUUGGUUGUAACCAUGAAGGGUAGGAAUUGUUGAUGUUCUUGAUCCUAAUCGUGCUUCAGACUUACUUGUCGGGUUCAUCUGUAAAGUCAAAAUUAUAGACCAAAAUCAGGCGAAAAGACCAGUUGAAUGAAAAUUUCCUUUUCCCACUAAACUGCAUAUUUGUCCUGACCUUUAACUAUCCAUUGCUUUAAUCUUUAUAUGAGGAUAGUCAUCCAAAGUUUGUCUAUUAAAAAAAAUUCAUUGCUAUAAACUUCUCACCGCGCUUGUGUCCAAGGAUCUCAGAUGCCCUAUUUACAAUUACCUGAAUUCGGAAAAUAGAUCAUAAACAAUAUAGCACAGCUGGUAGAAACAUGCUAGGUUCACAAUAAAAUUCACAUGAACAUUAGCUUACAUGAAAACUAAAUACUAUUUUGCAUAGAGAUUAGAGAAUUAGAGAUAAUCAGCAGAGUGGAGCACAAAUGGAGGUUGGUUUAGUUUACCAUGUGUUUGGACACUGAAGCUUAACUUUUCACACUUUAGCAGGGACUACCAUUCCAAACAACAGCUAUACUACUUUAAAAUUGACGUUUUUAUGGAAGAUUUGAAGUAAAAAUAUUGGAUGUGUAGGACACCAACCUCAUUGGCAUUCAUGUUGCUUUGUGUGCCACUGCCAGUUUGCCAGAUAACAAGUGAGAAGUGAUCAUCCAACUUUCCCUCUGCGACCUCCUCAACUGCCUGUAUUAUGGCCUUCCCUAUUGUUGGAUCAUGUGAAUUUUUAUGGCAUUCUUGUGUUUAUGUGGUACAUACGUGUAAUAUAUCUGUGCAUUCUUGAUUCCACUUGUAAUUUCUGGAAUUUUCUCCUUAUCUGAUCUAUCAUUGCUGUCAGCGUGCAUAUUAAAUACACGAUACCUGUUUAAGAGACUACUUGUGUUUAUGUGGUACCUGUGGUGGAGGAUCUGGUUAGUCAGUGAUGCUGGUGGGCUGUGUUAUAUAGGUGUCUGGACAAGCAGCAACAGUUUCUGUGAUGACUGACUGGUGUGCCUUUUAUGGCUGCAGAUUCCUCGACUGGCAGGUACUUUCCUUUUUUUUACCCUAUUGGCUGUAUGAGUUCAUUGUUUUUGUUAUUUCUCUUUUUAUUAGUUCAUUUCCACGCUAGCUAUAGGUGCCUCAUCACAUUGUGCUAUUUAUUCGAUGUUUGCUUCUUUGAAAAAUGCCCUAGCUUACCUGAGCUUCCAAGUCGUAUGGAGAUAUAAACAUAACUGCCAUUAUUUAGUUCUAUCGUUCUGUUACUUACUUGUAUUCUAAUGUCAGCGUGCAUAUUACAUAAGUUUUCUCCUUAUCUGAUCUAUAAUUGACACACUAAUUAGUAAUUAGUAUAAUAUUCCAAACUUGUGUAUAUUUCAGGUAUUUAUUGGGGUAGUGUAAAGUUUAUAUGCAUACUUCCUGUAUAUAGAGGUUGAUGCUAUUUAUCUAAUGAUAGUGGGAAGACUUAGCUAAUAGUAUGAUUUGUGUACGGUUCCGUAAUUAGUGUGUUUAUGGCUAAGGUUGUCAAGAUAAUCAUGUGUCUCCAGACCUUCAAUCCUGACCUCACUGGAAUUAACAAGACGUAGCAUGUCACUCAUGGAAAUUCACCUGAGGGAGUAGUUUGAUAGUGAGGUAUACAGAACGAUGUGCAGGGCAAAUAAUGCCUGACCUGAUGUCAUAAACAGAAAGAUAUGUGUGAUAAGCAAAUGAGAAACUGAAUGGCUUGCCAUUAACAUUCCUGAUGCGUGAUAUCAAUGACAAGUCCCCAUCCUUUGAAAGAGAGGCUCUCAGACGGAACUCAAAACUGCAACCAAAUUACAGUCAUACAUGAGGACAUUCAUAUGAAUAAACUUUACCGAGUCUGCAUUUUUGUGACUUAAGCAUGAGAAGGCGUCUAGGUCCAUAAAAAAUGUUAAGCAUGUAAAUACUGAUCAGCAAUAAAAACGAACCAUCCAGCUAAGCAACUACAUCCUUGUUUAGAUUUCCUUUUAUAGUGAAAAAACAUUGAAAUGCCAUAAGAUGAAGUAGUAGUGAUUACACAUAUCCAAAUCCAAGGCCCUCCUUACAGAUGAACCCGAAAAAAUGUAUGCAUCCUUGUUAAUCCCCACAAUUUUAUUCUAAGGAUUUAAUUUUCACAUGUGAUCCUUUGAAAACAUCUCAGGAAAAUAUUACCAAAAUCUUGCUUCCAGAAAGUAAUAACAUCAGAAAACCCAACUUCAGUCAUUAGACGAUACACCUCAAUGGCACAAUACUUAACAUAGAUUUGACAUUAACCCUCAUUUAGUUGUAACAUAAAGUACUGUUAUGGACAGGGAAGUUAAUAUUGAAACAAAUAGGUGCUGAUCUAUGUGAGUUACUUCACUGCAUAUCAACAAGAUAACUCAUGGAUACAAAACUGAAUGUCGCUUCCUGUUUCUAAGUCGCAGAAGGUUAAAUCAGCGUAAAGACAAUAGCAGUACUAGCAUAUGCUUUUGUAGCUUCUCCUGAUACCACCACUAAAAGCUUGCAUAUCUCCUUUAUAUCCUCUGCUUGGACAGUGUCUGCUAAAAGGGGCCUGAAGUAGGAUGGCACAAAACCAUCAGUAGCAAACAGGUACGGUAGGCAUUCCAUGAAACUAUUAUAUAGCUGAUGGAUAGUUACUUAUAGGUGAAGGGGCUCAGAGUUGGAGGAGGUGCAGACUGGCUUAUUGGAAUUGAACCAUCAGGCACAUUUCCAACCUCUGUUCCACUAUCGCUUUCAGGUUUACCAUAAUGAACUCUGUCAUGAAAUUGUUUCAAAAUAAUAAGAUUAAAUAGCAUUGCACACUGCUUCCCAGUCCUACUCGUUCAAAUACCAACUACUAUGAAUGUUCAUUUAACAGUUCAUAUACUCUUCUUGCUUGAUCUAACAUCAGACUUUGCACUGUCAUGCAUGAAUGGCUGCAUACUAGGACACCAAGAAAGUGCCCUUUCCUAACUACCCAUUUAUCAUCCCAAUUUGGCACAAGUUCCAUCAGUGCUCCAAUUCCCAUGUCCUCUUGUGGUCUAGGAAGUUCAAUGGGGUGGUCAGGCUCCCAAGUUAGCUCACUAUCCCAUUUUGGCCCUGUGUCCCACUUUGGUUCACAGUCCCAAAUAGGUCCUGGGUAUGAUAUUGUUGAGGAAAUGUGUUCCUUAUCGUGCAUUGAUGGGGCUGCCCAAGACGACCGUGUGUCAUUAGUAGACGUUAUACCAACUGAAUUUCUAUCAGCCCUUGCUUUGGACUUGGUUCUUGGCCAGAAUGAUCCAUGACAUGGUUGAGGGUGUAGCACUUCUUCAGGUUCUGAAACAAUGUUAUUUCUUCCCAGAGACAAGUGUUUUGCUUUCUGAUCGAGACCAUGUACAUAGUCUGAUGGUUCAGUGCUUGCCACUGUACUACCUGAUGUAUCAACAUCCCCAAGCGACAUCCGUCUCAGAGUCAUAAUAUAAUCAAUACUGGACAAACUGGAGGCUCUUGAAUUCCUUCUUUCUUUGAUAUACUAUGCAUCACAUCGGUAUAGACAUUGGACAGGUGGGCCUUGUCUUGACCUGUACCUUUUCCAUUCAUGGCCAUCUCCUUCGACGAAGGAAGAUAUUCCAGUUCAUAGAAGUAACUAGGCAAACAUAAAAAUUUUAGUAUUCCAGCCACAAAAUAUCGAUGUGGACCAAAUUUCUUCUGAUAUUUCUCAGAAAGUUCUAGGACUGCAACACAGUAGUAAGAAAUGUUUCAGCUUCUCAAUGUCCACUGUGCAAACAUUGGAACUUAGAUCUUGAAAGCGAAUACACUCACAUAAAUAAUUUUAAUUAUUUAUUUCUCUGAGCAUGGCCAGUUCAAAUAAAUAGUUUUAAUUAAUUAUUCAUCACAAAAUACGAAUGCACUCAGAUCUUGAAAAGCAUGAAGAAUACUCACAUGUAUUAAUGCUAUACAAUUCCUUUAUAAAACUUCAUCUCAUGCAAUAAAUAAAAUAAAGCUAAUAUUUGUAACAGGCUUAACAAUAUGCAUGUUGCCAAAUCACAUAUUUAUUUAAGAUUUGGAAUUUGGAUGACAUUGUAAAUCAGCAGAAAUGUAGUUGCAAACGUGCAACAUAUUUCAAAUUAAAAGUGCAACUAAAGAACGGAUUUCUCUCUCGCAACUUAGUGUCCAGACUCUGGCAAAGUCAACUAAUUCUAGGUGAUCCGUGAAGAAUUCCCAGAAUCUUUUCAAACUUAAGUCUCAAAGUGUUAAUGGUUUCAUCUAAAACAGUUUGCGACAGAACUUCGUCCUCAGCUAAAUCAGCAGGUGCUAGAUCUUUGCAGAUAUUCAGAACCUUCAUUUGCUUUGAAAUCCCUUGCCUCAGUUUUUCUUUGUGCUUUAGCAAUGUUUUUCUCUCCUCCCCAUGAUAUCUAGCUUCCCCCAUCAACUGUGAAACCAACAUAUUGGCUGAAUGAUUUUCCACAGCAUACUUUUGGCAUUCAGUGAAAAGAGCGGCCUUCUUGUCUUGCUCAUCUGUACUAAUAGAAGCAUUUACAUUUUUCUGUUGUUCCUGUUCAAGCACCUCCUCCAUAUAAUGGUUUUUCUCUUGCAGAGAAUAAAUUUGUUUCUCAUAGCUGUUUGCUUGCAGUUGAUGUGACUUUGCUAACACUUCAAAUUCCUCAUUCUUAAUUCUCAACUGAUCCUGUAGUUCCCUUACUUGAUCAUAUGCAAAAUCCUUCUCUCUUAUACAGAGGAGUGCAUCUGUUCCAGAUUGGUGUGCAUACCUUCUAGAAGUAAGAAGCAUUAUAUCUAUCUUUUAGCGCUUAGGGUAUUGUGUUUGUUUAUUAGUCAUACUAUGCUGUGGUUCAGGAAUAAAUAUGUCAUCUAUAUCAAAGAAUUCCAUGUUUUUUGUUCUUGUUUUGCAGUUCGCAUUGAUCUUCGGUCCAACAGUCAUUUUGCCCCCAAAAGAGUCGACAUAUAUUUUCUACUCGUUGAGGUUUGUUGCUACUUCUUUCCUUUUAAAGUAUGCUUCUUUCCCUCCCAAAUAUAUCAACUUCUAUCGAUUCAGUCAUUUUUUAAGUUUUGCUUGGUGAUAUAAUAUUGGUGCUCCUUUAAUGAAUGGUCAAAUGUGUUUGUUUUUAGUCAUACUAUGAUGAAAUGUUGGACUAAAUUGGCAUGUGUUUAUAUUAAAAAAUUAAUUAUAAUAUUCUUUUAUGCGAGAGAAAUACAUGCUAGGAACCAAACAAUCACUAAUGCAAGUGGAUCUCCACGGCCCAACCUAGCCAAAAAAUGAGUUGAUGCAUUUCUCUGCUGAAUUUCUACAACUGUGUAAAAAGUAAUUUAAUCUAAGUAGAGACAAUAUUUAGAAACACUUGAUUGGUCGCGUACUAAUUGACACAGUAAUUAGUAUAAUAUUCCAAACUUGUGUGUAUUUUGGGUAUUUAUUGGGGUAGUGUAAAGUUUAUAUGCAUGCUUCCUGUAUAUAGAGGUUGAUGCUAUUUAACUAAUGAUAGUGGGAAGGCUUAGCUAAUAGUAUGAUUUGUGUUCGGUGAGUUGCAUCCGUUCACAAUUCUCUUUCUCACAUGCUUCUCUUCCUUCUUUUUUGGAUCUGCCAUUAAAUACAAGAACAAACACCAUUUACUGCUCAAAUAGAAAACACCAUCUAACUAACAAAUUUCUGCAUAAUAUACAGCAGAAUACAUAUGGGACCUUUUUAAAUCUAGCACAGAUAAAUGAGAGAUGCAAAAGGGAAAAUUCACAUGUCAGCAUGCUUACCAAUACGGCCUAUCUUCAUGCCAGAUCGAGCAAGAGCUCUAAGAGCAGACUGAGCACCAGGGCCAGGGGUUUUGGUCUUGUUUCCACCAGUAGCACAGAGCUUACGACAUGUUUGGUUUGCAGGUUGGACUGCUUUCGGAGUCAUCCGGACCUACGUCCGAGCCUACAUUAUCAUUUGGUUUGAAUCGCGGAACGAUGUCGUCCGUCACUAUGUUGUUCUAAUAAUAUACUAACACUUGGGAUCAGCUCACUCCGCAAGAAAGUGCAAGACCACUCCAUCCGGAGCCAGACCACGAUGGAUGAGCCAAACCAUCAAACCAAACACGCUAUUAAUGUGCAAUGCAGUAAUUCCAAGCUCCUGCAAAGAGAGAAUAAGAAACUGAACUAACUUACCGAUAACAAAUGUAUUUUUCCACAGUAAGACAAUACCUUGCAUCUUUGCGCGACAUCUUGUGAGGCAAGCAUAGCAGCAUAAGGCGAUGACUCAUCACGAUCAGCUUUAACCUUCAUGCCACCUAGACAGUGCAAAAAAUUGUCGAAUUCUCAUAAAAAGAAAGUCCUGGGUGCCUAGGAAAAAAACUUGCAACUUAAAAGAGUCCGGUAGACGCCGUACUUGUGCACCAACAGGGCUAUACAAAUCCUUCAGACGCAAUCAUGCAUGCCAUCCACCUCUCCAUGAGCUGCAGACUCAUGAACUACAAGCCUUAAUCACAGUCACACCUAUAGUCCAAAAUAAGUGCUCAACCAACCAACCCACACUGCUCCUACGUCGUGCUAUAUCAAUGCACUGGACCAUUUUACAAUUUAGUUUUAAAUAUUUUCAAAUGAUAAAAGGUUUUGAUGGAGCCAGCCGUAUUGAACCGUGAAAGAGUUGCAUUGGACAAGAAAAAAAGGAUGCCUAUGUAAGUUAUAUUAUAAACAAUAGUUAACACAAUAGCUAUCACAUUUAUGAACGUUAUUUAGUCGCAUGUUUAAUAUAGCUUCAGGUUGUUCGACGACUAUAGCGAUGAAGAUUUUUAUGGGCUACAACGGAAGUAUAGUAUUGUCGCUCGAGUUGAAGUUAAAUUCCCGAUGGAACCACGUUAUCGUGACAGGCAACAUUACAUUUUGUCUGACAUCAAUGUAAGACAACAUAUCUUUAAGUUUCAUUUAUAUAACUAUAUAUAAUAUUCAUACCACACUCUCUUUUGUGCUGAAAUCAAAUUAGGGAGCCAAGAUCGAGGCCAUUGCAACUCGGUAUGAGAUAGUCAAAUACUUCAACAGUUUGCUCCAUGAAAAGCAUGUCUACAAGAUGCACAACGUAGUGUUUGGUCUUAAUCCGGGUGCAUUUAAUUUUCGACAUCUAAAUGGUACCAUGGAGUUGUAUUUCACCCAACAAACUGUCGUAGAGCCAUACGCUGUCCCAGUUCAAAUGCCGCCAUUUCCAAAACAUAUAUUCUUGAACCUUGAUGAUAUUGCCGAGUUGCCAAACAGGACUUUAGUUGGUAAGAAUAUGUCGAUCUACUAACCAUAUUAAAAAUUCCUUUACACAAAAUUCAGCAUUAAUCCAUAUUUCAUUGUGAUUUUGUAGACAUUAUGGCUAUUGUAGUCCACUUGGAUACAAUCCAUCACACAAUGUGGGGUAUAUUCAGGAAGAUUGUUAUAAUGGAUGCUAGGUAUAUUCCAUUAAUAUUACCGAUAUGAUGUUAAAUCUAUUAGUACUAAUCUAUUCUUCACAAAAUCAAUGUCAUAAGGUGGUCUUUACAUACCAUUAAAGUUUGGGCUGACGAAGCAGGGGCUGCGACCAGCGCGCUGGACGUUGCUGGGGGCCGCCUGAUGCUGGCGGCGACUGCUGGCUGGGGCAGCGACAGAGCUCAUGAUCGUCGAGAUCUUUGAUACCAGAUUGGUAGGAGCCACGUUCCCUAUACUGACGAUAUGUUUCCGUUGCAACGCACGGGCACCCACCUAGUAAAAAAAUGAAGGAGAAACCAGCGCCUGGUCCAACUCUCCUCACUUCAGCCUUGCUUCGUGGCCACACAGUGUCCCGGCCAUGCGCGUCGGGUGGGUGUGCACUGCGAGCGCAGGCGCCUAGCCAUGCGCUUGUACCCAUGUUGGCUUGACGUGGAGCCGGUAUCAGCCGUUUGGAUCCCAGCUCUCGUGUUCGUUCGCUCGAUCAUUGGAGCGUGGGGCCGUGCUGUCAGUCAUCGUUCACAGGAGAUCGUUCACCGUCGUGUGGGACCUCGAUGAUAGGCUCACGUUCUGGUGCAACUUCUCGCCGCGAACCCGGGGCUGGUGCAACAGUUUUUUAAGAACUCCCAUAACCACUGGGUUUGUUGGGAUAUGAUCCUAGGACCCCGGUAGGAUCUGCCUACCCCAAGUAUAUAUAGUCCAGUACCCUGCAUCCUUGAUCCAUUGAAGCAGAGCUUGCCGACGGUGUCGCUGCUCGCCGGGAAGAGAGAAUCGUGUAGACACCACGACGAUUCUGCCAUCGCUUGGUCUUCGGUGUGCAACGGUGAUGUGUCUACGACACUCAGUGGGGUUGCGCAGCAGUGAGCACAAAAGCCAGCCCACCUCGCCGGAGUCCAUGGUUUGUCGCCAUCCUGCAUCGGCCGGGGAUGGUGCUCUGGUCGUAUUUGCUUUUGUAUACUCUCCGAGCUGUGUGUAGUAUCCUUCGGCUUGGACACUCACAUGAUUAACUUAUGGAACUAAAAUUCAAUUUGUCAUAUGCAUUGCAUCGCAGGUGUUGUUAUAACUUUUGUUCUACUACUUAAUUGGGUUGGUAUCUACUUAUACUUAGUAAUUGCUAAUAAAAUUUUGACCAACUUUAAAAAGCAAUGCUCAACUUUAACCAUCCUCUUUGGUAAGACUUACACUUCACAUGAGCUCCCACCUUUGACAAGUUCAUGCACAUUAUUUCCCAUAACUUGUUGAGCGAUGAACGUAUGUGAGCUCACUCUUGUUGUCUCACACCCUCCCACAAGUCAAGAACAGGUACCGCAAGAUGAGGCGCAUGGAGGAUGCUAUGACGAGUUCGUGAGAGGUCUAGACCAUCGUCUCCCAGUCAACUUGGGUUGCUGGAUUGUUGUCUCCUUAUGAUGUAAUUAUUUAUUUAUUUUGUAUAGAACUCUUAUUAUAUAGUAAAGAUAUGACAUUUAUUUCUGUACCAUGAUUCAUCAUAUGUGUGAAACUUGGUCCUAGCACACUUGGUGAUUAUUUCGCGCCCGGGUUUUGGACCCCUAAAACCCGGGUGUGACAAUCUCCGAUCCAACGCGUGGUAUCGCGUACCGGUUCGUCCACAUAUUAAUCUAAUAUAGACCACCAAUUUGGGAUUGGAUGGUUCAAAUCUAGUAAUACACCUUCAGCCGUGCCUUUUUAUAUAAGAGACCCCCUUCUUUUAGUAAAUGAACCUGACAUCCACACAGGGACAGAGAUUAGAGAGCAUAAGUCCUAGAAUUUACACAGAGCCCCAUGGAAAACUUCAAAAUAGUACCCGCAGCCCAGAGAGUAAAUAAAUUGGAUAAAUUAAUAUGGGAAAUUAUUUCUAGUAUAGAAAUAAUUUUAGAAACUUGUUUAAUUCAUAAGUAAUUCAUUUCAACUUCUUUUUAAUCCAUCCUAGUUGCACUAAACUCAUAUUCAUAUUGUUUAUCAUCUAGUAACCUUAUAUUACUAUGAAACCUAUUUCUAUAUAACAAACGCGGACGCAAAGCUCGCUCCUCGAAGCUCCACGUCAGCCUCUUUUUUUUACGACCGUUCGAUUCUAAUCUAACGACAACAAACUGUAGCUACCACCCACGGACGAGCAGGUUCCAGAACGCUCCUCGUGGCUCGCGCCACACCUCAGUCCGCCCCGUGCGUUCCCGGCCAUUCCCAGAUGCCGAUGAGGAGGACUUCGCCCUCCUCCGCCUCCAAUGCCGGCACUGCGUCCCCUCCUCCCUCGCGCUUCUUCAACGCCACCCACCACUGCGUGGACCUUUCCACCGCACCCUACUCCUCCUCCAUGACCAGUCCCGCCUCCUACUCCUGCCUCGCGCUUCUUCGAUGCCAAGUACCAAUAGAAGAAGCAACAGGUGCCCUUCCCUCCAUCACCCAUGACGUCGACGCCGACGAUGUUGGCGAAUCCCCCACGUCCUCAUCGAGAUACAGAGAUCUAUCGGCUGCUCGAGCAUUCUAGACGCCACAUGACGACACCGAUUGGCGGUGGGAAAAAGAAGACGGAGGCCACUUCAUCGUCGUCGCGACGAGGAGACGCUGUUAAACUCGAUGAACGCGACGGCGGGUAUGCCCCCCUCCACCGCCUCCCUUCCCCCGCGCUGCCUUUGUCUUCGUCUCGCCUGUUCCCAUUCCCACAUUUAUGAACGCCUUCCAUCGUGCUUCCUCAGAUUAGAAUUUGUUGUGCGUUUGGGUUAAUUCCUUGCCUUCUUCUUCGUGCGCGCACGCCGCCGAGCGGCAUGCCGGUGGCACACAGCGCGUAGGUGUGUUGCGGACAGUGAACGAGGCAUGGGCGUGAUGGAGCCGUGCGACAUGCGUUGCAAUAGGAAGCACUGCGGGAGGCUGGGACGGGGGACGUGCAUCGGUGCGCGGGAACCAGACUGCACCUCUACAGGAGUGGAGAGUCAGGACCUUAUAGUUGUGUGCAGGACUCUUUUCAAGGUGCCGUCGCACACCAGCUUGGGCGCCUCCAUCGGAUUCAUAUCAUCGCUGGACUCGCUUCCAUGGUAAUCAAUGCCCUUCCAUCUGUCCUGGCCACACUUACUUUGUUCCCCUCUCUAAGAUGACAUCUUUGGCACUUCAGAACGCGUAGAGCUUCAAAGGUUAGAUCCCUUCUUUUGUCCAGCCUUUCCUAUCCUAGAAUUACAUCAUCAACGAAUUCAAGCCACCCAGAUCAGGGAACUCUGAAGCAGGUCUGCAGGUGCGUCCUCACUCCCCUCUAUGUUCCUGAUUCUUGAUGUCAUUGUUACAUCCUAACAGAUUUUAAUUGAGCUUGCUAUUGGAUUGAUUUGAUUAGCUCCUUGAAGAUGGUCAUGGUGCCAAUAUUGCAAGCCUCCAGACCAUAGUCGGAGAAGUAUUGUGCUAGGCAGGCAGUGGGACGCGAGCAGGACUAUAGGUCUGUGCUGGUGCUUUAUUCUUUAUUUCUUUAAUCUUUUAUGGUUCAGUGACUUAAAUUAUUUAUUCGCAUUAAAGAUAAAGAAUAAAAACCCUAGAACAUUAAGGUAAUUCUUUUUCCAACAAUAACUCUUUUAGACUAUGCGACAUUAACUUGAUUGCUCGUGCCUUUUGUGAAUCCUAAAUUCGCAAGUCAAGACCACAACAACCUAUCAUUUGUUAUUUCACCAGUUCCCCACAAAGUUAGUUCUUAUCCUAUUUAAAUUUUUUACUAUUUAUAAUUUAUACUCAUGUAUUCUUCUGAAGUAUUGAUGUGGUAUGCGAAUAAUAAAACUCCAACUCCACAAAAUAUGUUUGGUAGUAUGUGCUUACUAUUAUGACACUUUCAUUUCAAAAAAUAAAUUAAAGAUGCAUGUAAGAUAUUGAUUAUGGAUGUCCAUUGUCAUAGCACGCUAUAUAACUUGAAUGUGUAUUGAUCAUAAUUAGGUCAUGCACUGCUCAGUGCUACUAAACAGAGAUAUUGUACACCUCUUUUAGAUCUUACAGAAACAGACUUACCAACUAUCUUCUGGUUGUUUGGAUUAUCGACAUCUCAAGCAGAGGAUGUAGUAACUUAGCUAGCAGAAAAGAAAUAAAAAUCAGGUAAGUUCUUUACUAAAAGAAUAGUUUUGAUUAGUUUUCCAGUAGAAAUUCUUUUCUGCUGAGAUAUGUGCGUAUAUGUUUAUGUUUUGUCUUAACUUUUUAUUGAAAAGGUAGUUCGACUGUAAAUGGUCAAGUAAAUCAAGUGAAAUAGCUUCUUUAUGAAAAUGUAAUAAUUUAGUUUCCUCUUUCUCAUCAUCUUAAUUUGUACUAUUGCAUAGCUUGAAGCUAUAAAUUUAUCGAUUGUUCCCCUAAUUAAGUCACAUUUGCAGAUACAAUGUUCCUAUUAAAUUGUGCAUGUUUCUAUAGCCAGCUUAAUAGUCAAGAAAUUUUCAUGAUGCAUUGUAUUUAUAGAAUUACUAUUUGUAUGCUAUUUCUUUAACAAUCAAGAAAGUUUAUGGAAUUAACUUUAAUAGUCAAGGAAAUUUUAUGUUCCAUUCUAUCUGUACAAUUAACUAUCUGCACACUAAUUGUUUAAUAACCAACAAAAUUUAUGUUUCAUAAAUUCAGAUAUUGUUUUCCAUCAUAACCUGAAAUGCCAUGGCACCUAAGUCAACCUUACCAAUUGAUUUAUCACUCUAAUUAACUACCUUUUCAUGUAAUAAAUAUGUCUUAUGCAAUGAUGUUAUUCACUUUGGGUGUACAACUCGAAGAUAUGCAUCGCAAAAAUGUUUUCCCCAUCGCAACAUAAUUGAUAGUUACAUCUCUAUCAAUUUUAAUUUAACAAUUACUUCUAUUAUUUUUAUUAUUAAUCCUUGAUAUAAUAAUGAUGGGUUACGUCUUAAGGUAUUUGCCAAAAAAAUAAUUUUGAAUGACAUUUGUCUUGGUACUUUGUUAAAUCUAUAAACUUAGGAGUUAUAGGAUCACAUAUGUUCCUGUUCGUUUUCACAAUCCAAGUAAUAGAGUUCCAAGAUUGUUAUUUUGUUUUAGAUCACAAUUCCCUGUGAUUGUUUGUGAUAAUCAUUUGUAAACUGAAAACCCACCUUUCUCGCUACCAAAUGCCUUAAAAGAAACAAAUUAACCUCGCGCGCAGGAUGCGCGCUAGCUACUAGUGGUUAAAAAUCAUGCACUUAAUUUGUUCUUUAUUUAACACAUAAACUUCCGGAAAAUCAUAACUUUUUAAUCGUAACUCUGAAUUUAGUGGUUCUUGAACCUAGGAUCUCGUUACGAUGCAUAGAUCAUUAUUACGCAUUAUGUUCUUCUGUUUGGUGUGAUGUUAAUUUCUUCUAUAUCAUAUUUAUUUGUGUUGCUAUGAGUAGACGAGCAAGUGACUGAGGACCCCGGUACUCAGCAAGUGGAAAAUACUGAGCAGGAGCUCAUUGAAGGCAAGUUAUGCCCUUGACCAGUUUUCUUUUCCCAAUAAUGUUCUAUAUAAUCACUGUGAUUUUUUAGGCUUAAUUUUAUUGGGACCCAAUAGGUCACCCUAGUUUGCCUUACUUUAUGCCCUGUUCACCACUGAACUUUUGGGUAGUAUCUUCUAUUGCUCUAUGUGGUUUUGGGUGUUAAGAUAAUUAUGAUUCAUGAUCAUGCUUUAUUAUUGUGAUUCUAUUUUUUAAUGUUCAUGAUAAGGCUAUUUUGUAAAUUGGAACAUGGAGCUUAACUUGAGAUAACAGUGCUACCACAAGGGUGAGAAUGGGACGCCCUUGGCCAAGUAAUUAGGAAACCUAGGGAGAGAUUACCUUACCUGAAAGGGGCAAGCGGGGAGGCGUCGCUGCAGAGUAUAGGGAGGUUCUCGGGUUAGACUGACUGUUUAGGUUUCCAUAUGAGGGAUUGCUAUGCUUCAUUCUUCCUGAAUCUGUAGCGGGUUUUCUUGAACUAGUGGAACUUUGGAAAGGCCUCGUAGUGUUACCCUACCUCGUGUCCUCGGUAGAGAUGAACAGGAUUUCUAGACCUCUUGUCAAAUGGGUAGCAUGACUUGUGGGUAAAGAUGUGCAACCUCUGUAGAGUAUAAAACUGGUAUACUAGUCGUGCUUGCGGUCAAGAGUGACUCAGGACUCUCUCAUGAUUAACUUAUGAAAUUAAACUUAAUUUGCCAUAUGCAUCACAUUGUGGUUUUAUUAUUAAUUAUGAUCUCUUAUUACUUUGGGUUGGUAUAUACUUACACUUAGUAAUUGCUAAUAAAAUUUGACCAACUUAUUAAAAGCAAUGCUCAGCUUUAAUCAUUAUUUGUUGAUCAGUCUUACACUUCACAUGAGCCCCCAUUGUUGGCAAGCUCAUGCACAUUAUUCCCCACACUUGUUGAGCGAUGAAUGUUGGUCACUUGUUCUCAAAUGCUGUGAAUCAAGAACAAGGCAACACAAUUUUUAAAGGUCAAGGACCUUCAUCCUCCAAAGCAUUAUCUCCUCUAGGAUAUAAUGAUCUUCAGACGAAGGUCAUGAAGAUCAUGCCUUUAUCAUUCAUGAUGAUAAGAGUACAUAGAAAUAAUGAAUGUAAUUCAUCGGCAAAUACACAUAUGUAUUUCAUAAUGCACUCAUGAACAAUAACUAAAUUUACAUUACAUACCUUCGGCUUGUUCGAAGGUGUUGAUGCGAGAGCGAUUACAAUUCAGCGUGAAUAGUACGGUGGCACUAUUCACCUAUAGGCAUGGGACACAGCCCGGGUAAAAGUACAUUUGUGUCCUUAACAUUUACUCACAAUUGUAACAUAAAUCAUUUGGGACUAGCUAGUCUUUUCCUCUUCGACUCAGCACCAUGCUUGGUCUUCGUCACCAUUUUAAGUUGAAGCUGUUACUCUUCGGUUAUAUCUUCAGCGUUCAUUCUUAUCAUCCUCGGGCUAUACCUUCGUCUUGCAUACCUUCGCCAUAGGAGAAGACUCCCAACAUGAACUGAAGCUCCCUGUAGUAAUCAAUAUUAUGCUAGAAGCAAAUGGUUAGUCAUGUUUUUGAGGACCUCCAGAAGAGGAAAACCCCAACAGUAGCCCAUCGCAGUGUUAGUUAGUUUCUUUGUAACAAAUUUAGACUGUGAUAUGAACAAAGACCUUUAGUCGAAGGUCCGAAAAACACCUUCCCUUCGCUAGAAUAGCGAAUCGUUCUGAACUAUGGGACCCACCAAGCGGUGGAGCUUUGAGUAUAUAUACAGAAGCCUGUGCUGUGAAUGUUUUUCAUGCCAUCUAACUAUUUUGUGCUGUGAUUGCCAUUUUAGCCUUCUUCUUUUGCGAGCGCGAUUGUUUUUUGAGCUUCGGCAUUUGCUGUGAUCAUCAUCAAAUGGCUGAGGAUAAGAAGAUUGUAGACCCCUUAGCUGCUGAUUUUUACGAAGCAAUGGAAAAGACCAACAUUGAAAAAAUUACCAAUGAGAUGCUGGCUGGGCUAUCUGGGGAUUCUAGCGAUAGUGAUAGCUUUGAUGUGGAGAGUGGAAAUGAAGAUGCCGAAGAUUGACCGUGGAGGCCGAGCCAUGUUGUUUUUGGAAAGUCCAGUGUUAAACAAGGACAGAUUGAAGGGAUGAAGGGAAAAUAUUUUCACGAUAUAUCCAUUAUGAGGGCUAGAGGAGAAAGCACUGUUCCUCUUCCCGAAGCAGAUGAAGUAGUGGUUUUUUAAAGCAUCAUGAAGGCUAGGCUUCAUUUUUUUCCAAUGCACAAUGUUGGGGACUUGUUCUCAAAUGCUAUGAAUUAAGAACAAGGCAACAUAGAAUGUUAAAUGAUACUGUCCUUCGUCCGCGAAGCAUUAUUCCUUUGAGGAUAAUGGAUCUUAGACGAAGGUUGAUAAGCGUCUUAUUACGAAGUUGAACCUUCGUAAUAAACUUUCAAUAAACGUUGUAGAAUAAUGUAAAAUAAAAGGUAAGAAUGAAUAAAUGAUUCACAGAUGCAUUAUAUAAUAUUCACUUAAUAUAUUGAAUCAUAAAAUACAAUGAUACCUAUGCCUUGACAAAGGUUGUAUUCCGAGAAAUGCGAUUGCAAAUGUCAGAAAAAAAUGCGUGAACAGUAACGGAAUACUGUUCACUAUUUAUAGGCACAGGACGCAGCCUGUGAGGAAUUACAAGUAUGCCCCUUAUAAGAACUUACAACGUUGACUCAGACCUUUAUGGACUAAAAGGUCAUUCUAUCUUUAAGUCGGUUUGUAAUGCCGAAGCUCUGCGAAAAGGCACCUUCGGCUAUCUUGUGCGAACAGCUUCAUCCGAGGAUCACUUCUUUCUAUAAGACCUUCGGCGACGAAGCAUAGACCCAACAGUAGCCCCUUUCGCGGUGCUAGAUCGUUUUUCGUAACGAGCUUGAUCCGUGAAAAAAGUUUCUUAAGCUUCAGAGCGCCGAAGGUCUCAAAAAACACCUUCCCUGAGCUCGUUGUCGAGAAACGAUUGGAUUUCCCUGCGCGCAGCGGCCCCACCUUGCAGAGUUACUGUUCGGUCACUGCGGUCCACCGUACAGCGAGUGCGAGCGGGUGUCCGCCUGGUGUAAAACUCCUAGCACUUCACCUUCUUACCUGCGGCACUAUAUAAACAGACGAGUAGGUGUGAAGUUACCACAGCAUUUACUGCUAUUUGCACUGUUUUGCUGCCAAAAUUUUUAACCAUCGCCGAAGCUUGUUUGUCAGAUUUGAACGAAGCUCCAUCUUGAAGCCUGCUUCGGAGAAAAAAGUAUCAAAGUUUCACAAGUUCAUAAUUAAAUGGCCAGAGUUCGCUCUACAGCUAGGGUUGAGCGUGAGGGGGACGAAACUGAAGCUUCGGAGACUGUGCCCAUCUCCGAAGCGAUGCAGCGCUCCGGACUGGUGACUGCGGAAGAAAUGCCUGCUGCCGAAGCAAACCCGACAGCUGCCGAAGGAGAAGGGAACAUUGAAGAAACCGACUCCGAAGAUGACUACCGUAUUGCCAUGCCCAGCAAACCCAGCCACCUAGACUUCGGAAAAUCGACUGUUUCAAAGGUUGAUCUCGCCAAGAUGGUGAAAGCAGGUUUUUUCAGUGAAGAUCAGAAGAAGCUACUUCGCUUCGGGGGAGAAGAGACCACCCCGAAGCCAGAGAAGGACGAGGUUGUCAUCUUCAAAAGCUUUUUAAAGGCUGGGCUAAGAUUCCCUGUUCACGAGAUUGUUGCGGAGAUAUUGAAGAGGUUUGGCAUCUACCUUCACCAGUUAACUCCUAACGCUAUCGUUAGGCUUAGCGUUUAUAUUUGGGCCCUCCGAAGCCAAGCAGUGGAGCCUUUUGCUGACAGUUUCUGUCGAGUUCAUGAAUUGCAUUAUCAAACAAAGGCCAGAAAAGAUGGGCUUCAUGAAAACUUCGGUUGCUACAAUUUUGCCUACCGGAAAACCGCAAAGUUUCCUGUAAUCAGCUACCGAAGCAAAUGGCCGGCAGGCUGGAAAUCAGAAUGGUUCUAUGUCAAGGUUGAUGAGGACAAGGAGAAGCUUGUGCAAAGUCCACUCGAGCUAACUUUCGGAGAAACCCGACCCCACUGCAACAUGACACCAGAGGGUCAAACUCAACGGGCAAUGGAUGAAUUCAGAAUCAUUGCAGAGCAUAUUGGUACCAGGGAUCUGGUUCAAGAAUUCUUAGCAUUCAAAGUCUUCCCUACUCUGAAAAAAUGGGAAAUGCCAAAGUUAAAGGGGGAGAAGAAGGAAGGGGAUCUUGUCCGGCUUCCUUACCACUUCAAAUUCAAGAAAUAUUUUAAGAAGCCCUGCCAAGAGUGGCUGGAUACAGUUGAGGUGAUGUGUAAUGAAAUUCUUGGAAAUUAUUCGAAAAAAGAAGAUCAACUGAUGACAGCAGCCUUCGGCACCCGUCCGAAGCGAAGGCUGAACCGAGUGCUUGAUGCACUGGGUUUCGAAUAUCCUGACUAUGCGCAGCUGAACAAGGGUGCUGAGGGCCAGAGAAGAAAAAGAGCGGCCGAAGCUUUAAACAAGGAUGAAGAACAACCACCAAAAAAGAAGAAAAUUGUCAAGAGAAAAAUAUCAACUCCAAAGCGAAAACUAUCCGAAGAAGAGGGGACCCCCACACCACCUUCUACUAGCGACGUGGAGGAAAUUCUAAAGGUAAUGACUGAACCCAUGCCCACGAAGCUAAGUCCAUUAGGGCCUCGACUGACGAAGCUUUUUCAAAAGGUGGCGGAGCCGGAAAAAACGAAGAUAGCCAAAGCGAAAAGGCAAAGAAUUAUUGCCGUAACAGAAGUUAUUGACAAGACGCCACCGAGGGCGUCAAUUCAGAAAACACCAGCUGUUGAGGGCACAGAAAAUGUCGAAGUCGCACCUUCGGAGAUCGCGGCUACCGAAGCCGCUACAGCCGAAGAUGUAAACUUAGAAUCUACUAUUGAAGACAUCAACAAAAUUUUAACAGACAUGGCUGCAGAAGAAGCUGCCACCACUGCUGAAGAAACCAUGGCCACAGUGCCUGGGAAAGGGAAAGAAAUAGCCGAAGACACUUCGGACGACGAAGCCUACUCAUUUCAAAAUUUAGUCGGGCAAAAACUGUCGAAGGCCGAAAAAGAAGAGCUUAAGGAAUACGCCAAAUCUUGCGGAUACAAGCCAGGAGCUCUUCUAUUUGGAGGCAUUGAUGAUGAAAAACUGGGCUGCAUCCGGGACUCAGCUGGGGCUAAGGUCAUCGGUACUCUAUCAAAGAGUAUCGGUUUUCCGAAACUAGAGACAGACAUCAGCCGCUACCGACGACAGCAUAUCGUCGGCAGCUUAUUUUAUUCCAAUUUCAAGGUAAACAAUCUUUUCUCUGUUCCUUAUUGCUUUGGAUAAUGAAAAUGUUACUAACGAAAACUGUUUUUGUGCAGAGCAUGCUACUGAGCAAAGCUCUGAAGAUGCAGCAGGAUUUGGAGGACAAAAAACACGAAGCUAUAAUUG